rnacentral:rRNA from 1 species
UACAGAGGUCUCAAGCGUUGUUCGGAUUCAUUGGGCGUAAAGGGUGCGUAGGUGGCGUCGUAAGUCGGGUGUGAAAUUUCGGGGCUCAACUCCGAAACUGCAUUCGAUACUGCGGUGCUUGAGGACUGGAGAGGAGACUGGAAUUUACGGUGUAGCAGUGAAAUGCGUAGAGAUCGUAAGGAAGACCAGUGGCGAAGGCGGGUCUCUGGACAGUUCCUGACACUGAGGCACGAAGGCCAGGGGAGCAAACGGG